GCCAUCAAAUUCUGAAGGAGAAAUACAGUAAUUGAGGAGCAGAAGAGUGAAAGAAACCUAGAAUCUUGAGAAAAAAACAGAAGUGAUGCUGUUGAUGCAAUAAAUAUUCAUAGCACCGGAAAAAUACAAGAGCAAUCUGCUACGUCUCUAAACCAAGGUGCAAUUUUUACUCCCCUUGCACAAAACUUUAAUGAGACAUCAGGGGAGAUUUACAGUGACUAUGUUACCUUCGUGAAAAUUAAGAAUACUUGUCUGAAGAUACCGAUAUUCAAGAAGCAAUUAGCAGAUCACUAAUGGAAGAGACACUUAAAAG